rnacentral:rRNA from 1 species
UACGUAGGGUGGAAGCGUUGUCCGGAAUUAUUGGGCGUAAAGAGCUCGUAGGCGGUCUGUCGCGUCGGCUGUGAAAACCCGGGGCUCAACCCCGGGCCUGCAGUCGAUACGGGCAGACUAGAGUGCGGUAGGGGAGACUGGAAUUCCUGGUGUAGCGGUGAAAUGCGCAGAUAUCAGGAGGAACACCGGUGGCGAAGGCGGGUCUCUGGGCCGUUACUGACGCUGAGGAGCGAAAGCGCGGGGAGCGAACAGG